GACGAACGCUGGCGGCGUGCCUAAUACAUGCAAGUCGAGCGCAGGAAGUCAUCCGACCCCUUCGGGGGGACGUUGACGGAAUGAGCGGCGGACGGGUGAGUAACACGUAAAGAACCUGCCCUCAGGUCUGGGAUAACCACGAGAAAUCGGGGCUAAUACCGGAUGGGUCAUCGGACCGCAUGGUCCGAGGAUGAAAGGCGCUCCGGCGUCGCCUGGGGAUGGCUUUGCGGUGCAUUAGCUAGUUGGUGGGGUAAUGGCCCACCAAGGCGACGAUGCAUAGCCGACCUGAGAGGGUGAUCGGCCACACUGGGACUGAGACACGGCCCAGACUCCUACGGGAGGCAGCAGUAGGGAAUCUUCCACAAUGGACGAAAGUCUGAUGGAGCAACGCCGCGUGAACGAUGAAGGCCCUCGGGUCGUAAAGUUCUGUUGUAAGGGAAGAACAAGUGCCGCAGGCAAUGGCGGCACCUUGACGGUACCUUGCGAGAAGGCCACGGCUAACUACGUG
rnacentral:rRNA from 1 species